rnacentral:rRNA from 1 species
UUCGGAUUGUAGGCUGAAACUCGCCUACAUGAAGCUGGAAUUGCUAGUAAUCGCAGGUCAGCAUACUGUGGUGAAUACGUUCCCGGGCCUUGUACACACCGCCCGUCACACCAUGAGAGUUGAGAAUACCCGAAGCCCAUGUCAAAGUGGUCGAAGGUAGGCUUGAUGAUUGGGGUGAAGUCGUAACAAGGUAUC